rnacentral:rRNA from 1 species
GAGGGUAAGACCCUUAAACGGCCGCGAAUAUAACCGUGCAAAGGUAGCAAAAUCAUUUGUCCCCCAAAUAGGGACCGGUAUGAACGGCAUCAUGAGAGAGAAGCUGUCUCUUUAGGUCGGCCAAUGAACCUGAUCUGCUCGUACAAACGCAAGCAUAUAAAAACAAGACAAAAAGACCCUGUGAAACUUUAAAUGUCCAUCAGCCCAAUGAUCAAGACAUUUUUGGUUGGGGCAACCAAAGAGAAACAUAAACCUCAAAAAUGUUACACGGCAAACAAGCCUAAUAACACUACCAAUGGAUCCAGGACCACUUCUGAUCAAAGAACCAAGCUACUCCAGGGAUAACAGCGCCACAUUCUUGAAGAGUCCGUAUCAACAAGAAUACCUACGACCUCGAUGUUGGAUUAGGGUAUCCUGACGGCGCAAAAGCUGUUAAGGGCUCGUUUGUUCAACGAUUAAAACCCCACGUGAUC